rnacentral:rRNA from 1 species
UUCCGUGCCAGCAGCCGCGGUAAUACGGGAGAUGCGAGCGUUAUCCGGAAUCACUGGGCGUAAAGCGUCUGUAGGUGGUUUGUUAAGUCUGUUGUUAAAAACUGAAGCUCAACUUCAGAGGUGCGGCAGAAACUGGCAAACUUGAGUAUGGUAGGGGUAGGAGGAAUUUCUAGUGUAGCGGUGAAAUGCGUAGAUAUUAGGAAGAACACCAUUAGCGAAGGCGUCCUACUGGGCCAUAACUGACACUGAGAGACGAAAGCUAGGGGAGCAAACGGGAUUAGAUACCCCGGUAGUCCUAGCCGUAAACGAUGGAUACUAGAUGUCGCGGGUUUACCUGCGGUGUCGUAGCUAACGCGUUAAGUAUCCCGCCUGGGAAGUACGCACGCAAGUGUGAAACUCAAAGGAAUUGACGGGGGCCCGCACAAGCGGUGGAGCAUGUGGUUUAAUUCGAUGCAACGCGAAGAACCUUACCAGGAUUUGACAUACUAAGAACUUCUUUUAAUCGAGAAGGUGCCUUCGGGAGCUUAGAUACAGGUGGUGCAUGGCUGUCGUCAGCUCGUGUCGUGAGAUGUUGGGUUAAGUCCCGCAACGAGCGCAACCCUUGUCUUUAUUUGCCAUUCUUAAGUGGGGGACUAUAAAGAGACUGCCCGUGAAAAGCGGGAGGAAGGUGAGGAUGACGUCAAGUCAGCAUGCCCCUUAUAUCCUGGGCUACACACGUGUUACAAUGGUUAAGACAAUGAGAAGCAAGCUUGCGAAAGUUAGCAAAUCUCUGAAACUUAACCCAAGUUCGGAUUGCA